rnacentral:rRNA from 1 species
AGAGUUUGAUCCUGGCUCAGGACGAACGCUGGCGGCGCGCCUAACACAUGCAAGUCGAGCGAGUGAAUCUCCUUCGGGAGUGAAGCUAGCGGCGGACGGGUGAGUAACACGUGGGCAACCUGCCUCAUAGAGGGGAAUAGCCUUUCGAAAGGAAGAUUAAUACCGCAUAAGAUUGUAGCUUCGCAUGAAGUAGCAAUUAAAGGAGCAAUCCGCUAUGAGAUGGGCCCGCGGCGCAUUAGCUAGUUGGUGAGGUAACGGCUCACCAAGGCGACGAUGCGUAGCCGACCUGAGAGGGUGAUCGGCCACAUUGGGACUGAGACACGGCCCAGACUCCUACGGGAGGCAGCAGUGGGGAAUAUUGCACAAUGGGGGAAACCCUGAUGCAGCGACGCCGCGUGGAGGAAGAAGGUCUUCGGAUUGUAAACUCCUGUUGUUGAGGAAGAUAAUGACGGUACUCAACAAGGAAGUGACGGCUAACUACGUGCCAGCAGCCGCGGUAAAACGUAGGUCACAAGCGUUGUCCGGAAUUACUGGGUGUAAAGGGAGCGCAGGCGGGAAGACAAGUUGGAAGUGAAAUCCAUGGGCUCAACCCAUGAACUGCUUUCAAAACUGUUUUUCUUGAGUAGUGCAGAGGUAGGCGGAAUUCCCGGUGUAGCGGUGGAAUGCGUAGAUAUCGGGAGGAACACCAGUGGCGAAGGCGGCCUACUGGGCACCAACUGACGCUGAGGCUCGAAAGUGUGGGUAGCAAACAGGAUUAGAUACCCUGGUAGUCCACACUGUAAACGAUGAUUACUAGGUGUUGGAGGAUUGACCCCUUCAGUGCCGCAGUUAACACAAUAAGUAAUCCACCUGGGGAGUACGACCGCAAGGUUGAAACUCAAAGGAAUUGACGGGGGCCCGCACAAGCAGCGGAGCAUGUGGUUUAAUUCGAAGCAACGCGAAGAACCUUACCUGGUCUUGACAUCCCUAUGAAUAACGGGCAAUGCCGUUAGUACUUCGGUACAUAGGAGACAGGUGGUGCAUGGUUGUCGUCAGCUCGUGUCGUGAGAUGUUGGGUUAAGUCCCGCAACGAGCGCAACCCUUAUCUUUAGUAGCCAGCAGUAAGAUGGGCACUCUAGAGAGACUGCCGGGGAUAACCCGGAGGAAGGUGGGGAUGACGUCAAAUCAUCAUGCCCCUUAUGACCAGGGCUACACACGUGCUACAAUGGCGUAAACAAAGAGAAGCGAAGUCGUGAGGCAGAGCGAAUCUCAAAAAUAACGUCUCAGUUCGGAUUGUAGUCUGCAACUCGACUACAUGAAGCUGGAAUCGCUAGUAAUCGCAGAUCAGAAUGCUGCGGUGAAUACGUUCCCGGGUCUUGCACUCACCGCCCGUCA